AUGGCGAACGGGUGAUUAACACGUGAGCAACCUGCCCCUGACUCUGGGAUAAGCGCUGGAAACGGCGUCUAAUACUGGAUAUGUGACGUGACCGCAUGGUCUGCGUCUGGAAAGAAUUUCGGUUGGGGAUGGGCUCGCGGCCUAUCAGCUUGUUGGUGAGGUAAUGGCUCACCAAGGCGUCGACGGGUAGCCGGCCUGAGAGGGUGACCGGCCACACUGGGACUGAGACACGGCCCAGACUCCUACGGGAGGCAGCAGUGGGGAAUAUUGCACAAUGGGCGCAAGCCUGAUGCAGCAACGCCGCGUGAGGGACGACGGCCUUCGGGUUGUAAACCUCUUUUAGCAGGGAAGAAGCGAAAGUGACGGUACCUGCAGAAAAAGCGCCGGCUAACUACGUGCCAGCAGCCGCGGUAAUACGUAGGGCGCAAGCGUUAUCCGGAAUUAUUGGGCGUAAAGAGCUCGUAGGCGGUUUGUCGCGUCUGCUGUGAAAUCCGGAGGCUCAACCUCCGGC
rnacentral:rRNA from 1 species